UUAGUUCGAUGCUUGGGCAGUUGAAUCUACAGAAAGAGAAGGGUCGUGGAGUCGCGUAAAAUUAAAGAAAUCAAUAUGGACUCAUUCUUUAAUGACAUUAGGCUAUCUCCGAUUAUCACUGGGAACACGGCUGAUAUUAGUGCGAAAGUCAACUAAUACAACUCAGAGCUGUCCAGAAUUCUGGAUCAUCAUGCACCACUUAUCACCAGAGAGAUAAUUAGUCGUCCAGCUGCACCUUGGUACACUGAACAAAUUAAAAACGAAAAACGUAUCAGAAGGAAACUCGAGCGGAUGUGAAGAGAGGAC